rnacentral:rRNA from 1 species
AAAUUGAAGAGUUUGAUCAUGGCUCAGAUUGAACGCUGGCGGCAGGCCUAACACAUGCAAGUCGAACGGUAGCACGAAGAGCUUGCUCUCGGGUGACGAGUGGCGGACGGGUGAGUAAUGUCUGGGAAACUGCCUGAUGGAGGGGGAUAACUACUGGAAACGGUGGCUAAUACCGCAUAACGUCGCAAGACCAAAGAGGGGGACCUUCGGGCCUCUUGCCAUCAGAUGUGCCCAGAUGGGAUUAGCUAGUUGGUGAGGUAACGGCUCACCAAGGCGACGAUCCCUAGCUGGUCUGAGAGGAUGACCAGCCACACUGGAACUGAGACACGGUCCAGACUCCUACGGGAGGCAGCAGUGGGGAAUAUUGCACAAUGGGCGCAAGCCUGAUGCAGCCAUGCCGCGUGUAUGAAGAAGGCCUUCGGGUUGUAAAGUACUUUCAGCGGGGAGGAAGGUGUUGUGGUUAAUAACCGCAGCAAUUGACGUUACCCGCAGAAGAAGCACCGGCUAACUCCGUGCCAGCAGCCGCGGUAAUACGGAGGGUGCAAGCGUUAAUCGGAAUUACUGGGCGUAAAGCGCACGCAGGCGGUCUGUCAAGUCGGAUGUGAAAUCCCCGGGCUCAACCUGGGAACUGCAUUCGAAACUGGCAGGCUUGAGUCUUGUAGAGGGGGGUAGAAUUCCAGGUGUAGCGGUGAAAUGCGUAGAGAUCUGGAGGAAUACCGGUGGCGAAGGCGGCCCCCUGGACAAAGACUGACGCUCAGGUGCGAAAGCGUGGGGAGCAAACAGGAUUAGAUACCCUGGUAGUCCACGCCGUAAACGAUGUCUACUUGGAGGUUGUGCCCUUGAGGCGUGGCUUCCGGAGCUAACGCGUUAAGUAGACCGCCUGGGGAGUACGGCCGCAAGGUUAAAACUCAAAUGAAUUGACGGGGGCCCGCACAAGCGGUGGAGCAUGUGGUUUAAUUCGAUGCAACGCGAAGAACCUUACCUGGUCUUGACAUCCACAGAACUUUCCAGAGAUGGAUUGGUGCCUUCGGGAACUGUGAGACAGGUGCUGCAUGGCUGUCGUCAGCUCGUGUUGUGAAAUGUUGGGUUAAGUCCCGCAACGAGCGCAACCCUUAUCCUUUGUUGCCAGCGAUUAGGUCGGGAACUCAAAGGAGACUGCCAGUGAUAAACUGGAGGAAGGUGGGGAUGACGUCAAGUCAUCAUGGCCCUUACGACCAGGGCUACACACGUGCUACAAUGGCGCAUACAAAGAGAAGCGACCUCGCGAGAGCAAGCGGACCUCAUAAAGUGCGUCGUAGUCCGGAUUGGAGUCUGCAACUCGACUCCAUGAAGUCGGAAUCGCUAGUAAUCGUGGAUCAGAAUGCCACGGUGAAUACGUUCCCGGGCCUUGUACACACCGCCCGUCACACCAUGGGAGUGGGUUGCAAAAGAAGUAGGUAGCUUAACCUUCGGGAGGGCGCUUACCACUUUGUGAUUCAUGACUGGGGUGAAGUCGUAACAAGGUAACCGUAGGGGAACCUGCGGUUGGAUCACCUCCUUA